rnacentral:misc_RNA from 1 species
AACAAGGCGUACCUGCGGACCUGCGGAAGGAUCAUUACUGAGUGCGGGCCCGCUCCGGGCCCAACCUCCCACCCGUGUCUCUUGCGUACUUUGUUGCUUUGGCGGGCCCACUGGGUCACUCCGGUCGCCGGGGAGCGCUAUGCUCCCGGGCCCGUGCCCGCCAGAGCACCCCUGUGAACCCUGAUGAAGAGAGGCUGUCUGAGUCCCACGAUAAUCGUUAAAACUUUUAACAACGGAUCU